ensembl:snoRNA
UGGACUUACAUGUGCGUUUGUUUAACUUGUGGACAAGUACUUACAGACAGGUGCAAACAAUAAAUCUCCUUUUGCAACCAAGAACUUGUUCAGUAUGAGUUUUGAUACAUAUAAGAAAGGCUAUU